UGGGGAAUAUUGGACAAUGGGGGGAACCCUGAUCCAGCAAUGCCGCGUGUGUGAAGAAGGCCUGAGGGUUGUAAAGCACUUUCAGUGGGGAGGAGGGUUAAUUGGUUAAGAGCUGAUUAACUGGACGUUACCCACAGAAGAAGCACCGGCUAACUCCGUGCCAGCAGCCGCGGUAAUACGGAGGGUGCGAGCGUUAAUCGGAAUUACUGGGCGUAAAGGGUGCGUAGGUUGUUUGAUAAGUUAUCUGUGAAAGCCCUGGGCUCAACCUGGGAAGGCCAGAUAAGACUGUUAGACUCGAGUAUGGGAGAGGGUAGUGGAAUUUCCGGCGUAGCGGUGAAAUGCGUAGAGAUCGGAAGGAACACCAGUGGCGAAGGCGGCUACCUGGCCCAGCACUGACACUGAGUCACGAAAGCGUGGGGAGCAAACA
rnacentral:rRNA from 1 species